rnacentral:rRNA from 1 species
AACGUAGGUGGCAAGCGUUGUCCGGAAUUACUGGGUGUAAAGGGAGCGCAGGCGGGGUGCCAAGUUGGGCGUGAAAUCUAUGGGCUCAACCCAUAAAUUGCGCUCAAAACUGGCGCUCUUGAGUGAUGGAGAGGCAGGCGGAAUUCCCGGUGUAGCGGUGGAAUGCGUAGAUAUCGGGAGGAACACCAGUGGCGAAGGCGGCCUGCUGGACAUUAACUGACGCUGAGGCUCGAAAGCAUGGGGAGCAAACAGGAUUAGAUA